rnacentral:lncRNA from 1 species
GGAGCUGCAGUAGCUCUGGGUGCAGGGGGCAGUGGACUCCAUGGUGAAGAAUCUGGAGAGAGAGAACCUCCAGAAGAUGCAGGGCUUCAUGUUCCGGUGCAGUGCCCACUGUUCUGAGGACAGCCAGACAUCCAUGCAGCAGGUGCGCCAGUGCUUUGAGUGUUGCCCCCCGCCCCAUGCACCUCUGCCUCAAGCCCAGGCCCUGGUCACCAGCAAGUUGGAGGAGUUCCAGGACUGCCUGCUUUGCACUGCAGUGACAAAGCCAAAGAUUCAACAGAUGUGGGGAGUAAAGAGCUCCAGGUGAAGCGGCAGCUGGCAGACGGUGUGACCAAGGGUGUGAACGGCCACAUGAGCCUCAUCCCAGCCAUGACCAGGAAGGUGAAGGCGUCCCUCUGGUCCAAGGGGAAGUAGACGUCUGCCGUUGGCCACUGGCGCUGAGGGCGGGGAGCUAUGUGAAAAGAGGGAUGGGGGCUCUGGGUCUUCUAAGCCAAGUUUAUGAAUGAAGAAAUUACAGAUGGAAGCAGGUUUAAGGCACCUGUCACUCGCCCCUGGACACUGGUUCCUUCGUGUUUCAGUCCUAGAAAGUGAAACGGGAAAAUGGAUCUGAGGCUAAAAUUUGGGUCAGGGAUCGCACGGGAGAGUUUUGGAGAGCCUCAGUUUCGCGUGGCAAGUGCCUAUCCUGGCAGCAGGGACCCGCCCGCAUAGCAGAGCCCUCCGACGUAUCAGAGUCCCUAGUACACAGAUACCAACAGGCUGGCAGCUUCCUCUAGCCUGCCUGGGACCUAGUAGCGUGUGAGGAGAGGUGUUUCUGCUUCUUGCCAGCCAACCUCCUAUUUACCAGAAGGAUGAACACACACCGAGCCAUUUUCCACAAAGUACAAUAAAACAAAAUCCACAAGGUCACCAAUUUAGGAGGGGGCUUCCAGGAUUUUAUUUUAUACACAAGGGUAUGAAGUUAGUUUGAGAUGUGGCGUUGGGAGCGGUAGUGCGGAUGAGAGCUUUGAAAGGGUCCCUGUGAGUACUCGUUUCUGGCCAUCGAGAUGUAGGCGUGCCUUACUUAAAAUGCUCACACGUUGACAUCGUUCGGCCUGGAGACCUUGCCGAGAUAUGAGAGGGGAUGUCGGACGGUGUGGGAAGCAGGUGUCCCUUUCACUGGCGGCCACGAUGGCCCUGAGGCUGCAGCAGAGGGACGGGACCGUCUUACGGUGACACUCACCCUUGAAGGAUCUCAGUUGCGUUCUGUACUAGGAUUCGGGAGUGCACAGUGCAAGAGGAACUGUCGUCUGCUUAAUUCAGAGAGUUGUGAAGGACUGGAUUUGGAAAAAUCUGGUUUUCAUAAAACAGAAUAGAACGAAAGCCUAAAUCCAGUUUUGCUUAUGUUGCCACUUAAAGAGCAGGGCUCUGUUGAGAUGAUCCCUUGGCAAUGUGAAGGUCAAGGGAGAAAAAGUAAGCGACUCGGGGCUGGCUGUGACUCCUUGGAAGAGAGGAACAGGCCUCAUGAGCAAAUACCGCUUUUGCCAGGGCCUUUGUUCUUACCCCAGUUCGGGCACCUUAUUGUCUUUUUACCAGCUUAUUCCUUAAAGUGAAAAUAUAGCCUUUGUGUUUGCUGUUUUGAGAUUGUGAUGUAUUUUCCUGGUGGUUUGGUUUUAAAAAUAAAUAAGGUUUAAUUGUUUUCUUCCCAAAACAAAAAACCUAAAAACCCCAAAGUAAGCUAUGCUACAGCUGAUGCAGGGUCCUCUCACCGCCAGUGGUGCCCAUUAGUCAGGGUUGGGUCGGCCCCUCCAGGGUAGUCACACACACAGCACCCCCAUCGCCUUGCUGCCAGGGUGCCCAUGCUCCCCCCGAGAUUCUUUAGUUCCGCCCCUGAGAAUGCUCCAGUGGGCAAUGUAGGGAGAGAUACCAUGCAUGUGCCCACAGGUGGCCCUGCCUUCAUCUUCAGAGCUAGAGAAGGCCUCCUGGAGGACUCGGUGCUGAAGCCGAGACCUAUUUCUGCUACAGAAAGCCCUGUGUGCAGCCACAAGCGCAAGGGCUCGGAUCACAGACCUUCAGAGUCAGGGAAACCUCAGCAGUUAUCGGGAUGUGGUUGCCAAUGUUUGUAAACCACCAGAGCUUCUUCAAAGGAAAAGUCUCUUGGCUCUUUAGAUGUAGGAGGCUGCUUUGGGUUGAUGGGUGAGGGGAGGAGGAGGCCAGAGACCUUCGUAGGGCACCCCCUUGCCCUCCUCUGUGGAUCCUGAACCACAGUGCGAGGAAACCACAGGUUGAACUGCCCCCUCCUCCCCCCCGUGGCUGACCAAGAAGUGGAGGUCCAGAGAGGUAGAGAAACUUAACAAGGGCACACAGCAAGUUGUGUGAUGCAUGUUGUCGAUGGGCAGAUUUCUGAUCAUCCAUCCCUGGGCUCCCCAAAACCUUGAUACCCUUCUUGAGAGUCGAUAAUGUAGCCCAAUUAUCAGCUACUGUGAAUAAACUGUGGGACUUCUGCUCUAGGACCAGGUGCCUUUCUGACUUUAAUCCCGUCAGGAAAUAGCAUUUUGUUUGGUUGCUAUUUUUAUUUUGCAGACUGGCUGAGGUCUGUAGGCGGUCCUAAGUUAUGCAUGGUUGCCACUCCCAGCUACCAUGCAUCAAAAGCCCAUGACAUGCUGGGUACUGGGAAGUCCCCUCCUGUGUCACUUACUCUCCAUGGUUCAGGGAGGUUGGUAGAUGAGAAAACUGAGGCUGAAAGAAGUGGAGAAAAGAUUAAAAGCCCCUGCUCUUUGCAAGAGAUAUGCCACCUCCCCAGGAAGAUGAAGAUAAAUGUGAAAUGCCCUGGAUCGAGUAGAAAGAAAUUGCUAAAAAAAAAAAAAUCAGAGUGCCAUUUAAGGGUGAAGAUUGGACUGUGUGACUCAGGAGGAAAGGGAGGCCAGACCUGAGGCUGACCACAAGCGGAUGCAAGGCAGCCAAACAUCCAGCAGGGAUGGCUUGGGGUCUGAAAGGGUGGUAAGAAAGCAAGGAGUGAAAUGGCAAAAUUGUAGAAAAGAGACUAGUUCUCUGGUUGUCAGGGUGGAGAGGAGGUGUGGCUCUAAAAGGGCACAGGAAGGAUCCUGUGGUAUCAGAAAUGCUCUGUAUCCUCAUUGUAUUGAUGACCGCAUCUAGAAGUUAUAAUGUUGCAGUUUCGCAGGAUGUAUCACUGGGGGAAAUGGUGACAAGGAUAUGGGAUUUCUCCCUGUUAUUUCCUAAAGCUCCAUGUGAAUCUGUAACUAUCUCAGCAAGUUUAAUUAAAAAUGUAUAGUUUCCAUUGUGGCUCAGCAGGUUAAGUAUCCAUGAGGAUAUGGGUUUGACACCUGGCCUCGCUCAGUGGGUUAAGGAUCCACUGUUGCUGUGGCUCUGGUGUAGGCCAGCAUCUGCAGCUCUGAUUCUACCCCUGGUCUGGGAACUUCCAUAUGCCAUGGGUACAGCCCCCAAAGGGGAAAAAAAUGUGUAUGUAAGGGCCCAGAAUCAAGAUGGCAGAGUGGUAAGAUGUGGAACGCAGCUCUUUCCACUGUACAUCAAGAAUACAUCUGCACAUGGAACCGUUUUCACAGAACACCUACUGAACACUAGUGGAAGACCUCAAACAAGGACAAGAAAGAUCUCCAUGGGUAGGGAGAAAGGAAAAAAAAAAAAAAGAGGAAGCGGGACGGGGCCCGCCCACCUGGGAGGGAGCUGAAGGAGAGGAGAGUUUCCUGCACCCUGGAAAGCCCCAUCAUCAGUGGGGAGAUCAGCCGAGACAGAAGAGGAGCUUCAGAGGCUCAGAGGAGAGAACAACAACUGGUUUGUGGCAGGCAGGAAACUCUCUACAUAGACAUUCCAUGCGACCACCUUGCAUACUCCAGCCUGAGACUCCUCUCUGCUAGUAGGGGUGGGGGUUGGGUGCUGGAACUUGGGGUUUGGUGGACAGGUCCUGGGAAAGAACUGGUGUUGACUGCGUGGUGACAGCCUAAAGGGACUGGAGCAUGGUACAGCUGUAAUUGAGAGUGUUCGUGGAAGAAGCCCUGGCCUGCCAUAGAAACAGAGCACCACUGUUAAGUGCCAUGCAAAGGGAGGGGGAGUGCCACCAUGGCAGCUUUUUUCCCCAUGCACUGGCCCCUGCCUCUGCAGGCUCUAGGAGAAGCUCCUGCCUUGGCAGAACAUGAAUAGCAGAAUGAAUAAUGCAGAAGAACAAAUGAGUGAUCUGGAAGAUAGAAUAAUGGAAAUCACUCAGUUAGAACAGCAGACAGAAACCUAAACAAACAAAAAAAAAUGACAUCUAUAUGAGACCUGUGGGCUAAUAGAAAGCAUGCCAGUCUAUGCAUAAUAGGGAUCUCAGGAAAAGAAAAAGAAGAGGGGAUUGGAAAUCUAUUUGAAUAAAUUAUGGCUGAAAACUUCCCAAAUCUAAAGAAGGAAAUAGAUAUCUAGAUACAGGAAGCACAGAGGGUCCCAAACAAUAUAAACUCAAACAGACCUACACCAAUACAUAUAAUAAAAAUGGCAAAAGUUAAAGAGAGGAUUCUAAAGGUGGUAAGAGGAAAGCACAGAGUUAAUGACAAGGGCGCCCCCAUAAGGCUAUCUGCUGAUUUUGCUGCAGAAGCAUUGCAGGCCAGAAGGGAGUGGCAAGAUUCAAAGUCCUUUCAGAGAAAACUGUAACCUAGGAUACCCAGCAAAAUUAUCAUUUAGAAGAGAAGAAGAGACAAAGAAUUUUUCAGACAAGGAAAAACUGAAAGAAUACAGAAAUACCAAAACUUUCCUAAAGGAAACAUUGAAAGGGAGUCUCCAAAUAGAAAAGAAGAAUUUAUAGGAAAACCACAAUUAGAAAGGAAAUCACUCAAAUAAGCCAGUACACAGAUUUCUAAAAAUUAAAACAUUUCUGUGAAAGUGAUGAUAACCUCAGUGAACAGCAAAAGGGUGAGCAUGAAGACGCAAAAGAGGACAUCGAAGUCAUAAAAUGCAGGGGAGGAGAGUACGAAAAUGUAGGGUUUUUUCCUAGAAUGCGAUUGAGCCUACAUGACUACCAGUCCAAAGCAAGUAGAAAUAGGAAGGAUAGCUAAUAAGAUGUAGCAUACUUGAAAAACAGGGCAAUACAAAUCAAAAAUAUAUGCAGUAGUUUCACAAAAUCCAAAACAGAUAGAACAUAAGUGCAAUACAAAAGAAAAUCAUCAAACCAUAAAAGGCAAAACAUAAAGAAAGGGACAAAGAAGAAAUAUAGAAUUAAUGGAAAAACAAGGGUUAAGGUGGCAAUAAAUACACACUUAUCAAUAAUUCCCUUAAAUAUCAGUGGACUAAAUACUCCAGUCAAAAGACAGUGACAGUUUGGAUAGAAAAAAAAUGUGAGAUGAGUCUACAAUAUGCUCUACAAGAGACCUAUUUUAGGGCAGAGAACACACAUAGAUUGAAAGUGAGGGGACAGAAAAAGAGUUCAUGUAAACAGAAAUAACAAGAAAGUGAAGUUUGCAUACUCAAAUCAGACAAAAUUGACUUUAAAACAAAGGCUAUAAAGAAAGAUAAAAAGGAUAUUAUAUAAUGACAAAAGGAUCAAUAGAGAGAAUAUUACACUCUUCAACAUAUGUGCAUCCAAUAUAGGAGCUCCCAAAUACAUAAAACAAACACUAAGAGAUAUAAAGGGAGACAUUGAUAAGAAUACAAUAAUAGUAGGAAGCUUUAACACUCCACUCACAUCAAUGGGCAAAUCUUUUGAGACAAAAAGUUAAAAAGACAACAGAGAUCCUAAGUGAUGCAAUAGAACAGUUAGACUUAAGUGAUAUCUUCAGGACAUUACAUCCAAAAAAUGCAUAAUACACAUUCUUUUUAAGUGCACAUGGAACAUUUUCUAGGAUUGGCCACAUACUGGGGCACAAAAUAAGCUUCAACAAAUUUAAGAGUGUAUAGGAAUUAUUUCCAACAUCUUUUCUGACCACAGUGGCAUGAAACUAGAAAUCAACCACAGAAAAAGAAAUGAGAGUAAAAAACAACUACAUGGAGAUUGAAAAACAUGCUACUAAAAAUUAGUGGGUCAACAAUGAAAUCAAAGAGGAAAUUGGAAAAUAUCCUGAGGCAAAUUAUAAUGAAAACACAACCAUACAAAAUGUGUGGGAUGCAGCAAAAGCAGUUCUUAGAGGGACGUUCAUAGUGAUAGGCAUUUUUUAAGAAACAGGAAAGUGAGUUCCCAUUGUGGCAUUGUAGGUUCAGAACCUGACAUAGUGUCUCUGAAAAUAUGAGUUUGAUCCCUGGCUUCACUCAGAGGGUUAAAGAUCCAGCAUUGCUUCAGGCUGUAGUGUAGGUCACAGGUGUCACCAUUGUUGCUGUGGCUGUGGUGUAGGCUGUCAGCUGCUGCUCCAAUUCAACCCCUAUUCUGGGAACUUCCUAUGCUGCAAGUGGCACU